CACCACAGCGAUGUGGUAACUUCGGUGAGAUUGUGAAAGUUUGCACUCAUCGGGGAAGGGUGAGAACCUUCGAGUAAGGUUCGAUUCGAGCGAAAGCGAGAGAACGUUGCCACAGGCAACGGCCCGAAGGGUGAGGAGCGAAGCGACGAAUAAUCCUUCCCCCACCACCA
rnacentral:sRNA from 1 species